GAGUGUACACAAGGAGCUGCUCCUGAGUGACGAGCGCGACGGUGAGUAAUGCCUAGGAUCUGCCCCAGUCGAGGGGGAUAACAGUUGGAAACGACUGCUAAUACCGCAUACCGCCUACGGGGGAAAGGAGGGGACCUUCGGGCCUUCCGCGAUUGGAUGAACCUAGGUGGGAUUAGCUAGUUGGUGAGGUAAUGGCUCACCAAGGCGACGAUCCCUAGCUGUUCUGAGAGGAUGAUCAGCCACACUGGGACUGAGACACGGCCCAGACUCUACGGGAGGCAGCAGUGGGGAAUAUUGCACAAUGGGGGAAACCCUGAUGCAGCCAUGCCGCGUGUGUGAAGAAGGCUUCGGGUUGUAAAGCACUUUCAGUAGGGAGGAAAGGUGAUGUGUUAAUAGCACAUUGCUGUGACGUUACCUACAGAAGAAGGACCGGCUAACUCCGUGCCAGCAGCCGCGGUAAUACGGAGGGUCCGAGCGUUAAUCGGAAUUACUGGGCGUAAAGCGUGCGCAGGCGGUUUGUUAAGCCAGAUGUGAAAUCCCCGGGCUCAACCUGGGAAUUGCAUUUGGAACUGGCGAACUAGAGUCUUGUAGAGGGGGGUAGAAUUCCAGGUGUAGCGGUGAAAUGCGUAGAUAUCUGGAGGAAUACCGGUGGCGAAGGCGGCCCCCUGGACAAAGACUGACGCUCAUGCACGAAAGCGUGGG
rnacentral:rRNA from 1 species